rnacentral:rRNA from 1 species
AUUGAACGCUGGCGGCAUGCUUUACACAUGCAAGUCGAACGGUAACAGGCCGCAAGGUGCUGACGAGUGGCGAACGGGUGAGUAAUGCAUCGGAACGUGCACAGUCGUGGGGGAUAACUACUCGAAAGAGUAGCUAAUACCGCAUACGAUCUAUGGAUGAAAGCGGGGGACCGUAAGGCCUCGCGCGAUUGGAGCGGCCGAUGUCAGAUUAGGUAGUUGGUGGGGUAAAGGCUCACCAAGCCAACGAUCUGUAGCUGGUCUGAGAGGACGACCAGCCACACUGGGACUGAGACACGGCCCAGACUCCUACGGGAGGCAGCAGUAGGGAAUUUUGGACAAUGGGCGAAAGCCUGAUCCAGCAAUGCCGCGUGCAGGAAGAAGGCCUUCGGAUUGUAAACUGCUUUUGUACGGAACGAAACGGUUCUUGUUAAUACCCGCGGCUAAUGACGGUACCGUAAGAAUAAGCACCGGCUAACUACGUG